rnacentral:lncRNA from 1 species
ACAAUGAUGUAUGUAUGUAUAUUGUACAUUGAACUUGACAUUAAACUUGGAAAUUGCUCUGAGCUGUAGACACCUCAGCAAUCUCUCAGGACACACACAUGCACACAAGAGAACAUGCUGCUUUCAAGUAUUAUGCCCUUCUGAGGACUUAAGUUUAAAAGGUGUCUCUGGGCAGGGCAGGAGAGUUUUGGGCCCACAACGUGAGAUUCUCUUCAUCAGAUUAAGGAAUUUUGCAAGCCCAUUGGUGUCACACUGGUACCUGAAACUGGCUAUGAUGGGAAUAUUUAUGCCACACAAAUCGACAAAUGCUACAAACCAGAGCUCCCCUCCUAGCAGCCAUCUGGAAAGCAUUUACCAACACACCACUGAUUACCUAACAGUGAGUACCAUACUUACACCCCUAUUUCUUGAUUCGUUUUCUUUAAAUAAUAACUAUGGACUCUCCACAAUAUAA